rnacentral:misc_RNA from 1 species
GAGUUCGCGGGAGAGUAAGUUAUUGCCAGGGUUUUUAUUUUGUACUUUAAAUCCUAAAUUUAUUUUUUAUAUUUUUAUAAUGUUCAUGUUUUUGAAUGUUUUAUUCAAAUAAUGUAAAAAAUAAAAUAGAUAUUGACAUGGAUUGAACAAAAGAUAUAUAUUAUUUUAUGUUGCAUAAACAAAUUGGCAAAAUAGAGAUGGAAGAUAAAAAUAUGGUCAAAGUAAUAAGAGUCUAUGGUGAAUGCC